rnacentral:lncRNA from 1 species
ACACACAAGAAUCUUCUGGAGAGGACCAUUCUCGUCUUAUCUUUUUCUUUUUCUUUAAACCCUCGACUCUCGCCGUGCUCAAAGGUGGUAUGGGUUGUAUCUUUCUCUCUUUUUGCUUGUUAUUAUGGCUUUGGUAGCAAUUUUGCUUGAGAUUUUAGAAAGACUUAGUUUUGGGGAGGUAUUGUGAGAGCUGGUGAUGUUUGUAGGGUUCAUAUGGAUUGUUGCUCUUGUUGUGGUGUUGGUGAG